rnacentral:rRNA from 1 species
UGGGGAAUAUUGCACAAUGGGCGAAAGCCUGAUGCAGCAACGCCGCGUGAGUGAUGAAGGUCUUCGGAUUGUAAAGCUCUGUCUUUUGGGACGAUAAUGACGGUACCAAAGGAGGAAGCCACGGCUAACUACGUGCCAGCAGCCGCGGUAAUACGUAGGUGGCGAGCGUUGUCCGGAUUUACUGGGCGUAAAGGGUGCGUAGGCGGAUGUUUAAGUGAGAUGUGAAAUACCCGGGCUUAACUUGGGUGCUGCAUUUCAAACUGGAUAUCUAGAGUGCAGGAGAGGAGAAUGGAAUUCCUAGUGUAGCGGUGAAAUGCGUAGAGAUUAGGAAGAACACCAGUGGCGAAGGCGAUUCUCUGGACUGUAACUGACGCUGAGGCACGAAAGCGUGGGUAGCAAACAGGAUUAGAUACCCUGGUAGUCCACGCCGUAAAACGAUGAGUACUAGGUGUAGGAGGUAUCGACCCCUUCUGUGCCGCAGUAAACACAUUAAGUACUCCGCCUGGGAAGUACGAUCGCAAGAUUAAAACUCUAAAGUGAAUUGACGGGGGUCAUA